rnacentral:tRNA from 1 species
GCGGCCGUAGCUCAAGGGCAGAGCCGCGGGUUGUGAUCCCGCUGAUUCGGGUUCGAGUCCCGGCAGUCGCCCCA